ACGCUCCACACAGGCCACCGCUUCCGAGCCAGCCCGGGAAUCCUCCCUCCGACAGGAGUUGCAGUUCGUCUCCGAUCCCCUUGGGAUUUAAGCCUUCUUGCAUACAUAUAUUUUUUUUUUUCCUCUUUCCUCCUCUCUCUUUUUUUUUUUCCCCCUCCCGUGCAAAGUGGAGAAGGAGCCGCACCGAGGCAGAGCUCUUACCCUAUCGCUCCGAUUUAUCACUGCUGUUAUUCCUAAUUAAUUCUUAUUUUUAACCUCACCCCAGCCGGGGAGGGCAGCCGGACCAUUCCCAGCAAGAGAAACAUUUCCAUCCCUAUCAAUAAAGGUUUUUUUUUCCCCGUUCCCCCCCCCCUCCUCCUUUCCCGAGGAAGGGGCAGCCGGCGCUAGCGCGGCCCCUCCGCCAGUCCCGGCGGGGGGAGGCGGGACCCAGCGCCGCCCGCCGCCGGGGGGGCAGCCGCCCCAGACAGGUGAUGGGCGUUUCGGCUGCGCUCUGGAUCGACUCCUUGGGUUUCACUUUGGUCUGAUCUAAGCAAAUAUGCAGAAGUACCGGCUGGUCUAGUCCUAAGAGCCAAGAGGAGCGAAGCGAGAGCAGCAGAAAGGAGAGAGCGAGGCAGCGCUCCCGUACAGCGAGGGGGAACGUACAAACAGCGGCAGCGCCGUAAUUAAACCAACGCCGCCCCGAAGGCAGCCCCGACCCGCCCUGGAUGCCGAGGACCCCCGAGCCGCCCCGCUGCCUUUCCCCUGAGGGAUGGUACUGAAUUUCUGCGCGGCGGGAGCCGGCCUGCAGCUCCUCUCCAUCAGCGUUGCCUUCCCUCCGUGUCUUAAGUGCACGAGACCGCGAUGAGGACCUGGGCUUGCGUUUUGCUGAUAGGUUUUGGCUACCUGUCCUUUACCUUCUCCGAGGAGGCCGAGAUCCCGCAGGAGCUGAUCGAGCGGCUGGCGCACAGCGAGAUCCACAGCAUCCGCGACUUGCAGCGCCUCCUGGAGAUUGACUCCGUAGGGUAUGAUGAUGUUUCAGAAACAAACUUGAGAUCUUAUAGUGUUCAUUCUGCUAAACAUGUGCAAGAGAAUCGUCCUGUGCCCAUUCGCAGAAAAAGAAGCAUUGAGGAAGCCAUCCCUGCUGUUUGCAAAACACGGACGGUUAUAUACGAGAUACCUCGGAGUCAGAUAGAUCCCACCUCGGCCAACUUCCUGAUAUGGCCACCCUGCGUGGAGGUGAAACGUUGCACUGGCUGUUGCAACACCAGCAGCGUGAAAUGCCAGCCAUCGCGGAUACAUCACAGAAGUGUCAAGGUGGCAAAAGUGGAAUAUGUUAGAAAAAAGCCAAAAUUAAAAGAAGUUCUGGUGAGAUUAGAAGAGCAUAUGGAAUGCACCUGUACAUCAUCAAAUACUAAUUCAGAUUAUAGAGAAGAAGAAACUGGAAGGCCUAGGGAAUCAGGUAAAAAACGGAAACGAAAAAAGUUAAAACCAACAUAAAACCCACUGGAACUAUUUGAUAUUCAGAUUAACAGGUAUUUAUUGGGAGUAGUAUGAUAGAAGCAAAGAUUUUCUAAAAUUCAACUUUAAAAGUGAGCAUGUAAACUCAAUCAAAGCAGCAUUUAGAGCUUCUUGUCCCAGAUGUAAGGUGAAAAUAAGCUAGAAAAAAAACUUCUCUCUGGGACAUGGAUGUACAUGGUUUGUUACAUUCCUGAACCUACUAUGUAUGGUGCUUAUUGACUGUAUACGUUAUUUGUUCUCCUAUGUCAAAAAACUGGCUCAAAAGAACACUUUAAUGAGAACAAAGAGACAAUGUACAUUUGUUUAAUGUGACAUCAAAGCAAGUAUUGUAGCACUCUGUGAAACAAUAGGAAGCUUCCCUGUCCAAAAAAGAAAAAAAAUGAAAGAAAGAAAAACAGAAAAGAAAAAAAAAGACAGUUGAAUGAAUGGAGGAUACCAAAAGUACUCAAAAACAUGACAAAAAUCUAAGUGAAUAGUGGAUUUCUGUCAGAGCAGUCAACGGUGCUUUACGUCAAGAAAUGUGCCUGCGUUCUUGAUGAAGAUGGAUGGACACUGAUGGACUUCAGGCACAAAAAAAGCAGGAAUGUAUGAAAUGAUCAAAUGCCACGCAAACACUAUAGAACAAUACAUCCUUACUUGGUGGUGUUUUAAAAGUCUAUACAAAAAAAAACCUACUGGGGAGCCUUAAGUGGAUUUUUUUUUUUUUUUUUUACACCAUAAAGUGAUUAUUAAGUUUUCUUUUUACUCUUUGCCUAGCUUUUUAUUAUCUCUUGGACUACAUUUGCCAAUAACACAUAUAAAAGACUGGUAUAACAAUAAGCAGAACACAAAAUAUUAUGGUAUUUCUCCUAGUGGGAUGCAAACUAAUGAGAUGUAUUAAAAUAAAAAUGGUAUACCUAUGCAUAAUUUUCUAGAUAUUUCUUGGUUUAUGUUCCCCGAUCUCCCCGUAAUUUAAAACAUUACAUAAAAAGAAAAAAAGAGAUGUGCGUAAACAAAUCAUAGGAUAUCCAUGCAAAAAUCCUUUUUUUUUUUUCCUUUAAGACUUAUGCCAGUUGCCUACUAUUGAUAUUGUGUUAGCAAUUGUCAUUCUUAUCAGUAUACAGAUACUUCUAUUUCACAUGUUGGAGCUGUGUGAAAUGUACAAAUUCUUGUAUCUGCAUUGUACAAUGUCAUGGUGGCAUGGGAACUACCUUGCUGCAAAUAUUUGAACAAAACCUAAAAUUCUUUAUUUUUGGUAAAAUGUUAUGCUUUAUGUGUAUUCAACAGAAAUAUGUGUUUUUGUAAAGGUGAAGUUUGUAUUUUUAUCUAAAAAUUAACAGUUUUAUAUACCUGAGAAAGCCUGCUAUGUUUUCUUGAACCAAAAAAAAAAAAAAAAAAAAGAAAAAAAGAAAAAAAGUGCAUUUUGUGGUCAUAUUUUUGUAGUAGAAUAGCCCAAAUAACAUCAAAUCUAUUUUAACUAUAGCAGGGCAGAUAAAAUACUCUGGCACCAGCUCCUGUGUUUUCAAAGUGCCAAAGGAUUAAAUGUUCAGUUCCCCACGGAUUGCAGUGGGAGCCACAUGGCUAAAUCCUUCUGUACUGCUUUGGAAACGUAGGGCUGUGCCAGAUAUGACAUGGCUACUCGCUUGGCCCAAACCAGUGCCCCACCCCAGUAGUUUGGAUUAUGUACCCUUUGUUUGAGUUGGAUGAUCACAUUGGAUAUGUAUAAUGAACUACUGGAUUCUUUUAUUUGUGAAACGUCUACAAAAAGAUGAAAGAGUUUUCUUAGUUCGGAACAACAAAAAAAGUGUGUCUUGAAGACAGUGUUUCCACUCAAAAACUAUCUUCAAAUGUGAAUGAACUGCAGAACCUGAAAAUAAUGAGAGAGAGAGAUUUUUAACUUUUCCAUUUCUUUAAAUAUAGUUCAAACGUUCCCCUCCUGUUCCUGUAGCUACAUCCAAUUUCAACCGAACAAAGCAAUGUCAGCUAACAGGCAUUAUUGGCUUCAGAUGCUAAUGCAGAGAUAGAGUUAGUCACCGUUCUAUUUUGUGAUCAUUUUCCCAGUGUAUUUGUUGAGCACCAAAACUGGAAAUGCAUUUAGCUAAGAUUGUCUGUGCUUGUUUUCCACUAAGUGUACUGUUCACAAUGUUAUGCACAUGAAUGUAUGUGUCUGCGUUUAAAAAAAAAAGUGUAUAAAAUGUAAUUUAUAUAUUUAUGUUUCAGUGGGAUGCCAAUAAUGUUGCUCCGUUUCUUUUUUUUUGUCUAAAAGAUAUCUAAUGAAAAAAAAACCAAACAUAUAUCCAUUAAAAUCAUGUAGAUGAAAAGCAUGAUGUGACCCACUCAGACACUGUGUAGGUAUGAAAGGAUAUCAAAGUCACUUCAGUGGAAUAAUUUGCAAAACAACUUCUUGAGAAUCCUGUGGUUGCACUGGCAUAAGAAGGUUGUGUUUGGAUCUGUGGGCCAGCUUCCCUGGAGUUACUCCAUUGAGUAUAAUGGAGCUCUGCUGAUUUACAUCACGAGUGAGUCUGGCCCUCUAUUGAUGUCUUGGAGAAAAAAGUAAACCGAAAGGCAUGCAUUUUAUUGGUGCCAGCAAUUAAAUGUGUUAUGCCAAAUUCAGAAAACCAGGAGAGAAUGAAGACUGAAUGAAGUCUUUUCCAGUAGUUGUUUGUUUGAGACUUGUAGUCUCGAGUUAAUUUUGUUACCAGAAAUGAAACGCACACGAGUCUUUGUUCUCAAGCACAGUGUUUAUAUGGCACGCAGCAGAAAACGCAAAAAUCUCAGGGCUAUAUUCUCAGCUAGUAUAAAUUGGCAAAUGUUCUUGACUUCAGCCACCCCUAAGCUAAUUUACAUCAGAUGAGGAUCCAGUCCACGGUUUUUAAAAUGUGAGAGUGUCAUUUGCUGUAGUCCAGCCGAGAUACUCCCCGCCAGCCUUGUGAACGCUACAGGCUAUGGUAUUAGUCCUUCCUCAGGGUGGCAGAUACAACCAGAAGGAAUGGUAACGUUAAAGGUUGUGACACAGGAGACAUUAAUUCAAAGUUAAGUUGGACAUUUCAAGGGCCAUAUCCUCAGCUGGUGUAAAUCACCAUCGCUCCGUUGCCUGCAAUGGAGCUGUACCAGCUUACACCACUUGAGGGGCUGGUCCCUCAUUCUUGCUCAUCCCUUUCACUACUCGAUCCUGCAGGGAUCUCAGAUUGUCCUGUACUGUUAAUGUAAUCCUGUGUUCUCUAAUACUUAAGCACAAUAAGUGAAUAUAAGAAUGAGUGUCAGACUUAACUUUGAAUGUCCAAGCUCUGAAAUGGUUUGUUUCACCAUUGUGGCUGUAAAUUAAACAGUUCUCUGUGCAUUUGUGAAUGCUGUGUCAUAUCUUCUUCUGCUCUCUGCUGGAAGUGGAGUCCAUCUGGGCUUUUAAAGUGCAACAUUUGGACUGUUACAGGGAAGGGUGUGAGCAAUCGGAGCAGUAAGAUAUCUGAUUGACAUCUCUGUUACUGGUGGAGCGGGGGGUCAGUAGGGGACUAAAUGAAGGAGUUGAAGGUGAUAGUUAUAAGUCACAUUUCCAUGCACUCCUUUACCACCUUGUUGGUUUUGUCCUUGCACGUGCUAGGUAAAAAUUCUGGGGUAAAGCUUUUUUCUGUUUUACAUUCUGCAGUCGCUUCCUCUGUCCAGAGAUUCAAAAGUUGUUGGUCUGAUUUCAUCCUUUUUGAAGACUUUUCUGGUCAGAAAGUAUGUGUAGUGAACUGCCCCCAAAAAAUCUGAGUGUUACAAUAGGGUGCAUGGUUGCUGAUUCUCUAGUAAAUUGCAUACUUUUAAUUCUGUGUUUCAUCUUUCCAGAGAUGCCCUUCAGUUGCUUUUGUUGAGUGAAAUCAACGAUUAUAUACCAGUUUGCUUUCCUUUUCUCCUGUCCUCCAUCCUGCUUGACAUCUGCUUUAUUAGAUAGUGCACAUUGACUACAGGCAAGUUGCUCCUCUCCUGGAGCAACUCCCGGAGGUUUCUGGGCUGCUCCAGCACUUCUUUAUCGUUGAGCUUAGGCUUUUUACUCUGUUUUGAACUGUAUCUCAUGGGUCUCCUCCCUCAAUGGGCUUCAGCAUUCCAGCUACAAGGUUCUUUUAGUGGUCUACCUUGGGUCCGUGUUGCCUUUCUGUAGUCUGCUUUCUAGCUGUUCUCUGCCUGACUUUUGCAUCCCUCUGUUUCUGUCUCUCCAAAAUGAUUUCCCCUUCUUAGGUUCUGUCUCAUAUAUCUAUUUUUUCUCCUCCUGCUUGCCACAACAGCCUUUGAUCCACCCCAUCUCCAAAUCAAUUGCUUUAUCCAGGCAUGUACCCCAAGAUCCUGUCUCCCAGGCCUGUAGGCCCAUAAAUGACCCCUACAUGAAAGACAAAUGCUGUUAUAUAGACAUAUGUUUGUGGAGAGAAGAAGGUUCAUCUUUGCAUUUGGAAAAAUAUUCAUUCCUGAAUGCUCCCUGCUAAAGCUCUGUCCGAUUCCAGCAACAGUGUAACUGUGGAAUGAAGUGGUGUUGAAGCUAUUCCAGACAUCUGACGGUUCAAUUAAGAUCCGUGACCCUGUGUAUAAUUUCAUUUGAAAGUGUACCCAAAAGCAAAGAUGAAGUUUCAAAGCUACCUCAGCUUUGCAUGCUCAUAUUUUACUGUAAUUUGAAGGAAAUAAUGUAUGUAGGCUCCUUCCAUAGCUUUAAAAAUCUUAUACCUGAAUAUUUAUCUGACCCUCUCUUGGGCUGGAGAUCAUGGUUGCUUUAAAAAGGAAAUGAAAUGGAGCUCUUCAGUGAAGUAAUUUUCUUGGUGUUUCUAACACACGGCUUCUAGUACUGGCACAUCUCAGAAACAGUAGGGUAAAAGCUGUUUAAACUCAUAAGAAUCCCACUUAAAUUUGCUUUAAUUCAGGUAACAGAGAGAAGCCUAUCAAUGUUGCAUUCCUCAAGAAUCAGCCUGUUCUGUACUUAUUAUUUCAUUUAAUUACUGUGUGUUUUGCCACAUUUUAAAAGCAAGGUAUUAUUCCAUGUCUGAGCUUUUUUUUGUGCUGCUCUUUGCUGUAGCGUCUCUGCGGCGCAGCCUGGAACUGACUUGUACUCAUACCUCCUCUGAAAU